AUCUUGCCUUGAGGACAUGGGGCACAAUCAUAGCAGCAGAAUGGCUCCCCCUCCUUCUUCUCCUUACUGGAACCAGGAGGGCAACUUGGGUUACAUACAGAAAGGGGUGGAACCUGCCCAUUUAAAUAAACACAUAAACAGUUUAGCACACAGAAAUUAGCUAGAACUAGCAAGCACUGAACAACAUAUUCCAAAAUCAGGGUCAAAUUACCCUUUCUGCUUUCCAUGGUUUUAAAACAGAAUGCUGAAACUGACCAUCUUUGAGCCCCGUUCUGCACAGAAUGCAUGAGGACUCAAUUUGGGAAGAGGAUUGGGGGCUUAUCUUCAUAAGCUCUGCCCCCAUUAUCCCCAUAUACAAAAGGAAUACCUGUUCCACCCCCAAUUUUUCAUUCUUAGCACAUGUAAAAGUUUAUGCCUUCAGGAGAGGACAGUAGUGUAGUGCCAAUUGUUGUUUAGUCAUUUAGUCGUGUCCAACUCUUCGUUACCGCAUGGACCAGAGCACGCCAGGCACUCCUGUCUUCCACUGCCUCCCUCAGCUUGGUGAGACUCAUGUUGGCAGCUUCAAGAACACUGUCCACCCAUCUCAUCCUCUGUUUUCCCCUUCUCCUUGUGCCCUCAAUCUUUCCCAACAUCAGGGUCUUUUCCAGGGAGUCUUCUCUUCUCAUGAGGUGGCCAAAGUAUUGGAGUCUCAGCUUCACGAUCUGUCCUUCCAGUGAACACUCAGGGCUGAUUUCCUUAAGAAUGGGUAUAGGAAUUAUGCCCCACCUGGUAAAAGCUACUGUGCCACACCAUUCUGUUGUCAUCAAUGGAUGUUUUCUUUCCCGGGGCAGCUUCCACAUCCACCCUUCCAACCUUGACCCUCACAAAGGAAUUAUUUGGAAAAGUGACCAGGUUUGUGUCUGAGAAGGCCAAGCAUAUGCCUUUCUGGGAGAGCAGAGGUUUCAGGGCCUGAAUAAAUCUCUCUCCACUGUCAUUAUCUCCAGCAAGCAACCCAACCCACGUCCAACCAAAGUGAAGAAGUAACUUAACAAUC